UACGUAGGGUGCAAGCGUUGUCCGGAAUCACUGGGCAUAAAGCGUACGUAGGCGGCGUCGUAAGUGUCGGAUGAAAUCCCACGGCUUACCCGUGGAACGGUCCGGCAUACUGCGGUGCUAGAGGAUGGUAGAGGAGAGCGGAACUCUUGGUGGAGCGGUGAAAUGCGUAGAUAUCAAGAGGAACACCGGUGGCGAAGGCGGCUCUCUGGUCCAUGUCUGACGCUGAGGUACGAAAGCCAGGGGAGCAAACGGG
rnacentral:rRNA from 1 species